GCUAGAGAGGGGUCCCUUAUGAGGAAACCAUAUUGUACCUUACAAGAUGGAUACACAUUGCCUGAGUUAAAAGGAAUGAAAAGACAUUGCAAAGGAGGCAAGUUAGCAGGUUGUGGCAUCUUGAAAGGUGCAUAUGGUGAGGGCAUAACGCAAACCAGACAGAAGGACUAUGGCAAUCACUCUACAGCGUCUCUCUCUCUCUCUCACCUGAAUGGCUGUGACCCCGUGGUGAACUAA
rnacentral:lncRNA from 1 species